rnacentral:rRNA from 1 species
UGGGGAAUAUUGGACAAUGGGCGCAAGCCUGAUCCAGCCAUGCCGCGUGAGUGAUGAAGGCCCUAGGGUUGUAAAGCUCUUUCACCGGUGAAGAUAAUGACGGUAACCGGAGAAGAAGCCCCGGCUAACUUCGUGCCAGCAGCCGCGGUAAUACGAAGGGGGCUAGCGUUGUUCGGAUUUACUGGGCGUAAAGCGCACGUAGGCGGACUUUUAAGUCAGGGGUGAAAUCCCGAGGCUCAACCCCGGAACUGCCUUUGAUACUGGAAGUCUUGAGUAUGGUAGAGGUGAGUGGAAUUCCGAGUGUAGAGGUGAAAUUCGUAGAUAUUCGGAGGAACACCAGUGGCGAAGGCGGCUCACUGGACCAUUACUGACGCUGAGGUGCGAAAGCGUGGGGAGCAAACAGG